AGCGGCGGACGGGUGAGUAACGCGUGGGUAACCUGCCUCAUACACAUGGAUAACAUACCGAAAGGUAUGCUAAUACAAGAUGAUAUAAGAGAUUCGCAUGGAUUUCUUAUCAAAGCUCCGGCGGUAUGAGAUGGACCCGCGUCUGAUUAGCUAGUUGGUAAGGUAACGGCUUACCAAGGCGACGAUCAGUAGCCGACCUGAGAGGGUGAUCGGCCACAUUGGAACUGAGACACGGUCCAAACUCCUACGGGAGGCAGCAGUGGGGAAUAUUGCACAAUGGGCGAAAGCCUGAUGCAGCAACGCCGCGUGAGCGAUGAAGGCCUUCGGGUCGUAAAGCUCUGUCCUCAAGGAAGAUAAUGACGGUACUUGAGGAGGAAGCCCCGGCUAACUACGUGCCAGCAGCCGCGGUAAUACGUAGGGGGCUAGCGUUAUCCGGAUUCACUGGGCGUAAAGGGUGCGUAGGUGGUUUCUUAAGUCAGGAGUGAAAGGCUACGGCUCAACCGUAGUAAGCUCUUGAAACUGGGAAACUUGAGUGCAGGAGAGGAAAGUGGAAUUCCUAGUGUAGCGGUGAAAUGCGUAGAUAUUAGGAGGAACACCAGUAGCGAAGGCGGCUUUCUGGACUGUAACUGACACUGAGGCACGAAAGCGUGGGGAGCAAACAGGAUUAGAUACCCUGGUAGUCCACGCCGUAAACGAUGAGUACUAGGUGU
rnacentral:rRNA from 1 species